CACGUAGGGCGCAAGCGUUGUCCGGAAUUAUUGGGCGUAAAGAGCUCGUAGGCGGUCUGUUGCGUCCGCUGUGAAAACUCGGGGCUUAACCCCGAGCCUGCAGUGGAUACGGGCAGACUAGAGGUAGGUAGGGGAGAAUGGAAUUCCCGGUGUAGCGGUGAAAUGCGCAGAUAUCAGGAGGAACACCGGUGGCGAAGGCGGGUCACUGGCGGCAUACUGACGCUGAGACGCGAAAGCGCGGGGAGCGAACGGG
rnacentral:rRNA from 1 species